CCUCCAUUUGUAUUUUUCCUGUGCAGUUUUGUUCCGAUCGUGAGAACUUUGAUGAGGAGUUUGUGUAAAAGUCUGUAAACCCGCUCUCCCCUGUACUUCCCUUGAUCCGAGUUACACCUAAAUUAUUUAUCUUUUUCCUCUUUUAGAAGUUGCAUUAAUAGCGGCGGCUCGGGUCCAGAUGGAAACCAGAUCGCUCCAGUUCUGCGGCAGAGAAAAGGCCCACGCUCGUCUCAGCACGCGGACAAUCAGAGCAGCGUGACAUCGGACGCCAGCGAGGACCACGUCUCCGAUUAUGGGCUCGGGGACAGCUGGGAGCCGUACGUGCUGCUGCUGCUGUGGCUGCUGCUCUAUUGCUUCUGGGUUUUGCCGCAGUUGGACCUGAAAACAGUGCCCAGUCUGUUCUUCAACGUCAGACAAUAAGAAACGCAUCGCCAAAACUGCAAUAAACACGUCUACAUGAGGUUCAUUUACUCGGAUUCUGAGUUUUUAAAGCAGAAAUAGAUGCAGGACCCUCGUUAAAGCCGGAGAGACGAGACGUGAACGACCGAUUUCACUUUCAUAAAUAAAACAAACACGGAUCAGCGUUAAAUGUGCGGCGUUUCCUCGUCGAGUUCUGUCGAUUCAAGCGUCGGAGCGAACCGUGAAAACAAUUAUCACCACCGUUCAAUACGAUUUAGCAUGAAAUAAAACUAAAGCUCAGUGUUUUUUUCGCGGCAGAUCGUUUCGCUUUGAAUUAAAAAGGCAAAUUUAAAGAUAAUCCUGCAGAAAUGUCACGUGUUGUGUCUAAAUCAAAGUGUAAAUUGAUUUGACGUCAUUUGUAAUUAAUUAAAAUAUCCUGUAAUUGACAUAUUUAGCUGCCAAUUGUUUAAAAAAAAAGUCUAAACUCUUCAAAAAUGAUACAAAUCCAGAUGAAUAUUGUUCGUUGAAGUAUUUUACCUCAUGUAGAUGUUUCUUUUUGCAGCACACACGACAUUACUGCAGCACAUUUUACAUUUUACUCACAGCCGAACUGCCAGACUCUCGCUCUCGUCGCUUCCUCUGC
ensembl:lncRNA